GACGAACGCUGGCGGCGUGCUUAACACAUGCAAGUCGAACGGAAAGGCCCCUUUGGGGGUACUCGAGUGGCGAACGGGUGCGUAACACGUGAGUAACCUGCCCUUGACUUCGGGAUAACUUCAGGAAACUGGGGCUAAUACCGGAUAGGAAUCCUUGCUGCAUGGUGGGGGUUGGAAAGCUUCGGCGGUUUUGGAUGGACUCGCGGCUUAUCAGCUUGUUGGUGGGGUAGUGGCUUACCAAGGCUUUGACGGGUAGCCGGCCUGAGAGGGCGACCGGCCACAUUGGGACUGAGAUACGGCCCAGACUCCUACGGGAGGCAGCAGGGGGGAAGAUUGAACAAGGGGCGGAAGCCGGAUGCAGCAACGCCGCGGGCGGGAUGACGGCCUUCGGGUUGUAAAACGCUUUCAGCAGGGGCGAAGCUUGUGGUGACGGUACCUGCAGAAGAAGCACCGGCUAACUACGUG
rnacentral:rRNA from 1 species